rnacentral:rRNA from 1 species
CCUACGUGUGGCAGCAGUGAGGAAUAUUGGUCAAUGGCCGGAAGGCUGAACCAGCCAAGCCGCGUGAGGGAGGAAGGCGCAGAGCGUCGCAGACCUCUUUUGCCGGGGGACAAAAGGCCGGACUCGUCCGGUCCUGAGGGUACCCGGAGCAACAGCAUCGGCUAACUCCGUGCCAGAAGCCGCGGUAAUACGGGGGAUGCGAGUGUUAUCCGGAGUCAUGGGGUUUAAAGGGUGCGCAGGCGGGCCGUUAAGCCGGCGGUGAAAUCGCGGGGCUCAACCCUGCCGCGCCGUCGGAACUGGGGGCGUUGAGUGCGGCGGAGGCAUGCGGAAUGCGCGGUGUAGCGGUGAAAUGCAUAGAUAUCGCGCAGAACCCCGGUUGCGAAGGCAGCGGGCCGUGCCGCCACUGACGCUGAGGCACGAAAGCGCGGGGAUCGAACAGGAUUAGAUACCCCUGUAGUC